CUCCGAUAAGGGCAAACCCCGGGAAACCGUGGGGCGCAAAGCUACGGAUCUACAGCGCGGAAGCGCCAAGACCGCCGAGCUACCGAA
rnacentral:ncRNA from 1 species